AAAUAGCAGCGGUGUUAUCGUGCUACCAAAUUUGGUCUAGCGCGUUUAGUAGCUACCGGUAAAGUGUCAAGUAAUGAUACUGGGCUGGCAAACGGCUUAUACUCACCACCGAAAUGAAGCUUAUGAUGAAAUACUGAUGCUUGGCCAAUCUCACCAACGGGAUCUAAUAAGAACUGAUGCAGGUUUAUAACUACAUGUAUUGUUCAUCCGGAACAAAAUUAGUACGCUUUUUAUACCGAAGUUGAAUUUUCUCCAGAUACAGGCAACUUAUGUCGUUUUCGGUUUUAAACCUGGGUCAGGUCCGACCCCGACUCUGAAUAACCGAACGAAAAACGAAUCGGGAUCGAGUCAGUAUGAUGGUAUUAGUGAGAACUUAAUCCCUAUCAUCUGUUUUGUUUUCAAUUCGCACUUUUAUCAGCUG